rnacentral:lncRNA from 1 species
GUUGUCAAACGCUAUUUCACGCCCAAUAAAACUACGGUUUGAAAGCGGCUAACUUCACUCUCCAAUAAGACCAUAAAAUACAUCGGGCGAACCGUUGAAAUACAGAUGUCUGUGACCUGGAAAUAUUCUGCAUCAACGAUUUUGUACGCACACGUACGCGGAUACGCGUCUAUGUGUUUGAUGUAAAACAGACGUAAGUCAAACUGUACAUGCACACUCGGCUCGGCCUUCAGUUCAGCAGCCAAUGCUCAGCGCUGAAGCAAAAACUGUGUUAUGUAUUUGAUUCUAUCCAGAUAAGUAUGCGUAUGAUAAUUUAUGCACGUAACACAUCCCAGGUAAGUGUAAUUGACGUUGUGUUAUGUUAUGACAAAGUUUUUUUUUUGUCGCAGUUAAAGUUGGGAUCACAAAAAGGAUUAGAAAGCUACAGAAUCAGUUAUACCUAGAAGUUUGCUUCGGUAAGAUUGUCGGUAGAGUACAUAAAUAAUAUGGAUUUAGCGUAGAUAAGAUGCAGGUAUGUUACAUUACAUACGUAGAAUACAUGGUUAUGUGUGGUAUCUUAUGGCGAACGUUAAAUUAGGUUAGGUUAGUGCAAAUGUUAUCUAAUCAGGGUCGUUGCCGCGCGUGGAGGAGUAACAAAUUGCGCGCCAAACAGGGAAUAGAGGAAAAUUAAAGGCACAACUCAGUACCGACAGUACCUUCGAUAAUGACGCGAGGGAUGCUGAACGGCAGUGGAGUCCGUUAAUUUGGCAAGUGCUCUACAGACCUCAAGACGCAGGGACCGUCAAGUAAUCGAAAACGGCGAAUAUGCGAGAGAUUAUCGCCUGGCGGCAUCGCGUAAGGAUUACAACGCAACGUCUUUAAAAGUCACCACCGGCGGAUUUCUUGAAUUAUGGGACAAGGAAAAACGGAUCUCACGACGUCGAGUAAAUUUCGUAAAAGCACGAGAAAACAGAGGAAGGUCUAAUGAUGAAUAUGCGAGAAUAAACGCACAUCGUCGCUUUCGGCUACCAAAGGUUUAUAGUAAAAAUGAAUGAUAUGGAGAACGAAAAUAACCUCACGUGUCAUACCAGCGAUAUGUAUUGUAUAUACCGCAAUGUAUACUUGAACAUGUGCCUAUAAAGUCGCCUAGCUGUAUCUACCGUACAAUAGAGUAGAAAAUAAAGAAAUUAGUCUUAUUAC